GGAAGUGCCAAGGUCACUGGUGGGCCUCUCAGACUUCAAAUCUGAUGUUGGGCGCUAAAACCGUCCAGGGUGGGUUCGAUUCCCAUGCACUUCCGCCA
rnacentral:tRNA from 1 species